ensembl:lncRNA
AUAGGAUAGAUACUGGUCAGUUAGAGACAGUAGGAUAGAUAGAUACUGGUCAGUUAGAGACAGUAGGAUAGAUAGAUACUGGUCAGUUAGAGACAGUAGGACAGAUAGAUACUGGUCAGUUAGAGACAGUAGGAUAGAUAGAUACUGGUCAGUUAGAGACAGUAGGAUAGAUAGAUACUGGUCAGUUAGAGACAGUAGGACAGAUAGAUACUGGUCAGUUAGAGACAGUAGGAUAGAUACUGGUCAGUUAGAGACAGUAGGACAGAUAGAUACUGGUCAGUUAGAGACAGUAGGACAGAUAGAUACUGGUCAGUUAGAGACAGUAGGACAGAUACUGGUCAGUUAGAGACAGUAGGACAGAUAGAUGGUCAGUUAGAGACAGUAGGACAGAUACUGGUCAGUUAGAGACAGUAGAUAGAUACUGGUCAGUUAGAGACAGUAGGACAGAUACUGGUCAGUUAGAGACAGUAGGAUAGAUAGAUACUGGUCAGUUAGAGACAGUAGGAUAGAUAGAUACUGGUCAGUUAGAGACAGUAGGACAGAUAGAUACUGGUCAGUUAGAGACAGUAGGAUAGAUAGAUACUGGUCAGUUAGAGACAGUAGGAUAGAUAGAUACUGGUCAGUUAGAGACAGUAGGAUAGAUACUGGUCAGUUAGAGACAG